AGUCACUUGGAGACUCCUUAUCGACCAAAUGUGUGUGAAACACUAUCUAGCAGUAAACAGGAAGCAGUGUUAGAUCAGUGCUGGUUUCACUCUCUUACUCUGAGUUUGGUUUUUAAGUCAUUAAACAUUGUUAAACAUGUUUUCGCAGCUGAGAGCCAGUCUUCUACAGAUGAUGAUUAUGAAUAUGUGUCUAGCGUUGUCAAGGACACCAGCAGCAUAUUUGCCCCGGGCGGCCUGGGUUUCAACUGUCGCAUAAAUAAACCAAAAGGCCCUCGAGAUCCACCGGCCGAUUGGAGUCGUGCAGAAAGAUGAAACUGCAACAGGUUUUUAGGUUGUAUAAAAAAAUGAACCCAACCUACUAUAGCCUGUUCCAGUAGAUGCUCAGCUAUUUUGACACUGGGUAAUAGAGCGUUAUUUAUUUCCUUCAGAGGUUGCACUGGCAGUUUUGUUUGUAUUACUGUUUUAAUUACUGAAGCAAUUUAUGAUUAUGUAUAGUAGUGUAGUUUAUUGAUGUAUUUGUGUGGCAAAUAAUUUAAAAUGGAAAACGCAAGUAAUAUUGAAACAUUUCAGUGCACGCUGAUGUAAGAAUGCAUGUGAUUUAAAGGGGUCAUUUAAUGUUUUUGUAAUCAUUUUAGUCCAUUUAUGUUAUUCACAUUUUUAUACUCCAAUUUCACCUAAUAGAUGUUUACAAUGUAAAUGUGAGUCGUGAUCUGUUCUAAUAUCUU